AACGGCAGUUAUAUGCGGGACAAAGAGAAGCAGCAAUGGUGACUGCUCUGCGUUUGCGUAACUAUGAAGACAUAUUGAAUCCCGUUGAUAUCUACUCUCUACUGGCUUUGACUUGUUGUAUGAGCAGAUCCUUUGCCAUCUGUUCUAAGGCAUUGGUAAAGCUAGAGUCAUUGGAUGAAGUAUUAGAUGAAGACAAGCAGGAAUAUGAGGCUUUGGCAUUGGAGAUAUUCACUAGGCACAGUCCGAAGGAUCGUUCUUCAACCGAUCAGCUGAUCUCUUGGGAACUAGCUAGUGAUGUCGAAGAUGGUGAGACAAAACUGCCUGUCUGUAUCGUGACCGGUCGUCCAAUCAUUGAUUAUCAGUUCUGGAUGUGUGGCACGUGCAAGCAUCGAGCUUAUGAGGGAGAGAUCGAAGCAUAUAACUAUUGCCCUCUGUGUCACUCAUCGAUGUAGAACACCUUUUCAGUCUUCUGCAAUUCAAACGGAUGAACAUGAUACAAACAAGGAUCUCACAACUCUUGAUCUGAGCUCAUCAGAUAUACCUCUGGGUCUACGCACUGUGAUAGCUACUAGAUGUGGUAAAGAGUGGAAGCAGUUAGGAAGAGAAUUGGGAAUCUCGGAAAGUGGUCUGGAUGAGUAUGACACUGAAAGAUAUCCAACGUACAGAGAGAAGGCUCAUCGAGUUAUUUAUGACUGGAGACGGAGGGAAGUGUUGGACCACUGCAACAUGUUUGGUGCAUGCGCUUUGAGGCCAAGCACAAGUACUGCAAGACCCUGGCUGGUAUUAUCAACAACUUUAUAAACAUUCCCAAGUCAUUGGCCUUUCGUCGCCAGCUUCAAAUGUGCUACUUCCAGCUUUCAGAUAUUUUCCUUAUUAAGGAACCAGAAUUUGGAUCCAGUAAAUUCAAAUGUAUGUCAUUUCUGCGUUUUUCAUGUACUUCACUUGUUUCUCUCUAGUAUCUACCGUUCUACUUAACCAAUUUGAACAUAACGAACUCUUGAAAUUGCAUUGGCCAAGUCUUGAUGAUUAACUGCCUAUCAACAGAGCAGUGUGGGUGGCCAUAAAUGGCACAAGGUAUCACACAGGAGAUAUUUUGGUUCUUCGAUGUGUUGAUGAUUUUCCUGAAUUUGGUGAAGUCAAAGAAAUAGUGAUUGACAAUGAAAGGGAGUGGCGUUUGCAGUCUGUGUUUUGCAGACAGAGUGUUUUAACCACCAUUACCAUAGUUAUGACGUCACAGACUAUGAAGAAUUUAGAUUGGUCAAGCAAGAUCAAUUGCUUGACUUUCACUCUCUUUGUUUGCAUAAUUUGUCUGUAUCUGACAGUGCAGUAAAGUUUGUCCGGCUCAAAUACAAUUUAAUUUUGUAAAAUUUCCA